GAGGGCGCUGGUUGCUUUAACAGUUUCAACUCGUGUUACCUUAAUUGUUUCACUCAUCAGUACUUGCUCGCGGUUGUUUUACCUCCGUUAAAACUGGACCACAUUAAACGGCCGCCGCAAGAGAAUCGUCUUCAUUCGCCAUCGUAUAACUGAUUACGAGCAAUAGUUUUGAGGGAAAAGAGGUCGCAGCCGCUUAGCAUCCGGAGGAAGAACAUAUCUCCGUUUCCUUUGAAGACCUUCAUUUUAAAGGGGUCAAAAAUAAGAAAUGCACCCAAACAGGUGGAGACCAAAAAAAGUAAAAAGAAAAUUCCCUCGGAUGGGUAAGCACAGCAUCAAGCCACAGCCCCCUGGUGAGGAAGAGGACUGGGAAAAGGAGUUAGAGGAGAUUUCACAAUGCAUUGAAGAGCAGAAACAGCCUCCUUAUGAUCCUGGAGAUGAUUUGACUACUGAAGUAAGGGAGAUGUUUCAUUGUAACAUCCAGAAGGGCCCAAGUUCAAACCAGGGACACUACAGCCCAGCAAUUCACCACAUUCAACCUGUGAAAUGGGUCCGGUUUAUUUAUGCUGUAGUGGACGACCAGUUUGCUGAUGCCGAAGAAUAAGGCUGUUGGUACCUUGUAUGUGCUUCCUUACAGAACAAAUAUUUCACAUUUGUUUAUAAUCUACUCAGCUCAGGCUAAUGUUUUAAGUAGGUAGUACUUUUGUUGUUUUUAGUAUUUUAUGUUAUUUUAUAUUUUAUAGAUUUUUUUUUUUUUUUUUGCCAGUUUAAACCCAUUUAUGUUUUAAUCUCUGUCUAAAUGUUUUAAUCUCUGUCUCUGUUUUUUAUUUUUUUAUGUUUCUGUAUAAAAAACUGUAUUACAAUGUUACUUUUUAUUAAAACAAAGUGACGGGAUUGUGUUGACUUAAGGCACAGUAAAUAAUUUCACAUGAGUUUCCACUGGGUGGCAGUA